rnacentral:misc_RNA from 1 species
GCAAACUUGGUCAUUUAGAGGAAGUAAAAGUCGUAACAAGGUUUCCGUAGGUGAACCUGCGGAAGGAUCAUUAUUGAAUAAACUUGGUUUGAGUUGUUGCUGGCUUUUAAAAGCAUGUGCACACUCGGCCAUACUUCAAUCUAACCCACCUGUGCACAUUGCAUAAAUCUUUUGAGUGCUUGAGAAUAAGCUUGUAAUAAGCAUUAUACCGCAUUGAAAGGUUUAUGUUAUAUUAUAAACACGAUGAAUGUAUCAGCAUGUCCUUAAGAAUAAAAAAAAAAAAAAAACAACUUUCAACAACGGAUCUCUUGGCUCUCGCAUCGAUGAAGAACGCAGC